GUCGUUGUUAGUUGGUUGAAGCCUGGAAGAUUUUGAUCAACUGUUUAUUUGCUGUGGAACGUGUUUGAGAUAAUUUUGGAGAUUUGAAAUAUAUGGAUAAAAUGUAGCAAUAGCAGUCUGAAAAGUAAUUGAUGCAAACAUUUUACAUGUUUUUUGUCUGUUUUCCAAAUCCCAGUUAUAUUUCUGUUAUUUGUUCUGACUAUUUCAGGUUACCAGCCAUUAUUCUAUUUAGCUCGCAAAACAGCAAGACUGUAAGGAAAUUAGAAUGUGAAGACUGGUUAGUUUUUAUAUUUAACAGCCUUCAAUUUUCCAAUCCAAUUUACAUUUUUGGAUUGUUUCACAAGGUAUAUUCAGCCUCAUAGAGAUGAUUUACCUCCUAACAGAAAAAAAAUAUUCUGAGUUACAAAUGUCUGAGUUAAAUCAAACAUUCCUUUAAUGCCUUCUAGUCAAGUUGAAACUCAGGGAUACUUUUUAGACAAUGUUGUUCUUUUUUUGUAGUUUUUUCUUUUUUUUUUUUUUACAUUUUCCAUUCAUUCUGCAGCUCAGAGUGAAUAAUCUGACACCUUGUUUGCAUCAGUGUGAAAGUUCAAGUUACUGUGGUCUAGAGGAGCAUGUUAGUUCUCUCAGCAAAAUAUUAUUUUAACAAUUGAUGUACAUUAAAUGUAAGUCUUUGCCAUACAAAAGUAAUCCUCCAUUGCAAUAGGCUUUGUCAGGAAAAGAGCCCAUGAUGUAAACACCCAGUUCAAGUUCAGCAUGAUUAGCUCCAAUCCAAGACCCUCACUGAGUAAACUUCUGGUUAAGAGUUCAUGUAGAUCCUAUUCCAAACCUCAAAUACUCUUCUGUCUAAAUUUGUGACAGAGGAUCACUGAUGUUCCACAACUAUUUAACACCAGAUUUGUUGUUGUUUUUACACUCUCACCCAAGUCAUAUCCUCUAUCAGCCCUUUAGGCCCCUUCAGCUCCAGCCUCAGUCCCAGUAUCAGCUCCAACACAGGCCACAGCUGCUUUGUAUUUGCCCCUCUUUUCUCCUCCGAGCCGAGUUGUUUCAGUUCUGCUGCCAGGGUCAUAAUUAACAUUUCAGCUUGUGAUGGAAAAGGCCUGCGAGCCCUCCCUCCGUCCCUUGCUCCGGAAUGAGGAAACUCCAACAGUAUUCACAUGGUUCUAAGAGGGGGUGUUAAACAUCUGAUUAACACUUUCCCUCCCAGAUUUUCCAUUUAAACUUUUAAUGAGGGGAUGCAUGUGCAGAUGUUUGUGUUUGUAGUCGAUCCAUAUGCUCCUGUUAACCUUUCAUCCUUCUCAGUAGUUCAGACAGACUCUCUUAAAUAAAAGAAAAACAGACUAAUGAAACAUCCAACUACGUGAACAGAAUCAGACUUCACUUCCAUAUGAACUGCUGAUGGUUUAAAUGAAUCCAGAGCUGCGUUUUGCUCUCGUUUCGCUCUCAGAUUACUGUCAGCGAUGCCGUUGCCAGAACCUGUCACAGAGUUUGUCUUCACGCUAAUUUGCAAUUGUGGAUAUUAUAUUUCGACACAGCAAUGAUGGAUGGUGGCGAGCCAAACAUUGCAAGUAUGAGCUGACUGCUGCCUCAGCUAAAAAGGAAAAUUGCAUAAAUUUUUAAGGUGUUCCUGCAAUGUGUUGUGCUACGUACAUAAAAGCAUUGAUGAUUACUGCUCGUAAAGAGAAGAAUUUGUGUCAAGUACAGUGGAAGGGUUACAUUAGCAGAUAUAACAAAUAGGAGUGGCUAAAGCAGGAAUAUAUAUAUGUAUAUAUAAAAAUUUGCCUUUUCAUGUUUGCACAGUUCCUACAAGUUCUGCACCUGAAUUUAUCAUGAAGGAUGAAAUGUGCAGUAUGCACAUGCUUAAAAUGAACUUUUUAAAGUUAAUUACAGUUCAAGUUUUUUAUAUGCAAAUACGCCCAAAUUAUAUCAUAUGAUGUAUUUUAUUUUAAGACACAUUCAUUGUCACAAUCUGUCUUUUGCAAUAUCAAACUCCUGAAAAACGAUUAGAAAUUAACAUUAAUUUAACAGGGAAUUAAGGUUGAGCUUCCUAAUGUAGACUAAUGAGAGUGAUGCAUUAAUUUUACCAGGUCACCCAGUGCUGCCAGAGCCAUACUUGCCUUAAUUGCAUUUUUCUCUUCCGAGGUGAUGAAAGAAGCACUGGAGUCAACGGUCAAGCGAACAGCAGAAGAAACAGAGAAAACAGAGCCUUCCUGCAGCUGACACACCAGUAUUAAGAAAUAAUUGAAAAUGCAAAUGAAGAUGAGGAGUCACCGGCACUGCUCAUCUUCCCCCGGCUGGCUUACCUGGAAGGUGGCAUGUAAGGUUAAUUGGGAAACGAAGUUGAGAGAGUAAUUAAUGCAUUUGUCAGCAGUGUCUUUCUCUGAGCCUGUAGCCGUCACGCAGCAGUCAGGCCGAUUCUUCUCGGCCUGUCUCGCCAGGCUGUUCUGGUGCUGCUGGUGAGAUGCUGCUCUGAUACAGCGAGCGAGUCUCAGAUGCACAGCAAGGCCAUUGUUUUCAGGAGAGUGGGAGGAUGGCAAAGUCAGUCAACUUCACAUUAAACAAAGACAAAAGAUUCAGGAACCUUCCAAAUAAGUAUGUAAUUAUUAUUCAAAUGUAUAACAGUUCUAGAGCAAAGCAUGACUAAAAAAAAAAAAAAAUUCUUGUGCUUUUGGA